CUGUAACGAUUUGUUCCUGUACAUAAGUGUUCCACCGAAUAGUAUUAAAAAAUUGAUUGCAUAAAAGGUCGAAAGAUAUGGACGACAAACGAUUUCAUUUUGAACCAUUCUGCAAGAAUACUUUUUCAGUGAGCUUCCAAUCCAGGGAACAGGGUCACUCGUAAGGUCUCGAGGAAGAUCGGUGAUCAUCGACAUCGACGAGUUAGUUCGCUAGAACGUUACAGAAGAGACCUACUGACCGAGUAUAUGAAGGGUCACAGCUAUAGCUACCUCUUAACACGUACUGGUGUACGCUGUCGCUUGACUAUGUUCCAUAUUCUGCAUCUACAAUGUACUACUCCUCGUACUAUGGGCGUGUUGGGUGGCAAACUUUGAAGGAAGAAUGACCUUUUCGAACGCACGAUACACAAUCACUUAAUCAUUAGGAAGCUCGAAUUUCAAUUAGAAUUUCUCGAUUAAUUUCGGCUACUAGACACGUAAAAGUGGAUAAGUGAUUUUGUAAGGUAUAUGUAUCAAACGGUGGAAGAUUCCCGUGUCUAUGCUAGUGAUAAGAAUGUCAGUGAUGUUUAAUAAAGCUGAAUAGAAAUUCUAAGCUCGUAGACUUUUGU